UACGUAGGGUGCAAGCGUUGUCCGGAAUUAUUGGGCGUAAAGAGCUCGUAGGCGGUUUGUCACGUCGGAUGUGAAAUCCCGGGGCUUAACCUCGGGUCUGCAUUCGAUACGGGCUGACUAGAGUUCGGUAGGGGAGACUGGAAUUCCUGGUGUAGCGGUGAAAUGCGCAGAUAUCAGGAGGAACACCGGUGGCGAAGGCGGUUCUCUGGGCAUUACCUGACGCUGAGGAGCGAAAGUGUGGGGAGCGAACAGG
rnacentral:rRNA from 1 species